UGACUGAGCGGCGGACGGGUGAGUAACGCGUGGGUAACCUGCCUCAUACAGGGGGAUAACAGUUAGAAAUGACUGCUAAUACCGCAUAAGCGCACAGCAUCGCAUGAUGCAGUGUGAAAAACUCCGGUGGUAUGAGAUGGACCCGCGUCUGAUUAGCUAGUUGGUGAGGUAAAGGCCCACCAAGGCGACGAUCAGUAGCCGACCUGAGAGGGUGAUCGGCCACAUUGGGACUGAGACACGGCCCAAACUCCUACGGGAGGCAGCAGUGGGGAAUAUUGCACAAUGGGGGAAACCCUGAUGCAGCAACGCCGCGUGAGUGAAGAAGUAUUUCGGUAUGUAAAGCUCUAUCAGCAGGGAAGAAAAUGACGGUACCUGACUAAGAAGCCCCGGCUAACUACGUGCCAGCAGCCGCGGUAAUACGUAGGGGGCAAGCGUUAUCCGGAUUUACUGGGUGUAAAGGGAGCGUAGACGGCGAAGCAAGUCUGAAGUGAAAGCCCGGGGCUUAACCCCGGGACUGCUUUGGAAACUGUUUUGCUAGAGUGCUGGAGAGGUAAGUGGAAUUCCUAGUGUAGCGGUGAAAUGCGUAGAUAUUAGGAGGAACACCAGUGGCGAAGGCGGCUUACCGGAC
rnacentral:rRNA from 1 species